rnacentral:tRNA from 1 species
GGGAAUGUAGCUCAGUGGCACAGCAUCUGCCUGGCAAGCACUAGUACCUGAGUUCGAUUCCCAGUACCA